GCACACAAGAUUGAUCUUUAAUUCCUAAAUAUAAACGGUUCAUUUCAGCUUUUAUAAUAUUGUGAAAUUAAUGGGAAAACCUCAAUAAUGCUAUAUGUUCAACAACAGGAAGGACAAUAUUGCCUACCUUAGUACCUUCCAACACACAGCUUUGUUUCCUUAUAAACUAAUACCAAUCUUACCUGAAUUUUGUCUGCCUUCACUUUUAAGGAAAAAGUGUUAAGAGAACUCUUCUAUUGCUACAAUAAGUUACCGAUUUUACCCAGUGAUUUACGAAUGUCUUGCAUGACAACAG